GCAAAUCUUGAAUUAAGAAACAGACAAUUACAAAAUAAUCCUGUAUGUGCAGAAAGAAAAGGUGUCAUUUCCUUUACUUCAUAUGCUUUUGUACUUGCUGAUAGUGUGAAACACGUUUUUUUUUUAAUUAUACGAGUAUCUCAUACAGGGUGGUCCUACGAUCAAAUAUUGACAAGGGAUACCUUACAUUCAAAAUUGUAAAUCUGCUGCAACUUCUUCAACAAGCAUACAAAAUACCAAUCAAGCAGUUUCAGAAGAGGACAUAAAGAUCAGACUCAGGAAUUGAAAACAAAAUCACAAUACUUAAAGAAAUGCACAACAUUACUAGAGGAAAGAUAGAUGUACUAUUAACUCAUUGCAACAGACCUUAGAAUAACAAAUAUAUGAAUUUGUGCAACCAAUUUCAAUUCCCUUCUUGUGGGGUUCCAUAAAUUGCUUUAUUUAGACUGUUUCUCUCUUCUUUCAUUCAAAUCAUUCAACUGGCAAGUCAACCAAAGGUGAAACAACAUAUCAUGGCUUCACGUUUGUGAUCCCUAUUUUGCAUACAAAACCUGGUCCUGGACAACUGGUUGGAUCAUCAAGUUCUGACAUGCCUUGUCCACACACAUCAUUUUUGGUAAUUUUUGAUGCUUUAGCGGACAUUCCAAAGAGAAUACUUUUUCUCAGCAGUUCAUGUGGCACAAGUUUGGAAAUCAGGGCAAUAUCUAGACGUACCCAAGUCCCCAAACUAUAGGAAGGUAUAUUGUAGAAGCAACACCAGGCUCAGGAAGAUUAAACCAAAAAUAAUGUUCUUUCCAGAAAAACCAUUACAAACCAAAAUUACAUCCCAUCAAUUGCCUUUAAUCUAGUAAUGUUUUUCAUAAUUGGGAACUCAUAGUUUCAAUCAUCAGCUCGCUUUUAUAAAAUGAACGACUCCAUCCAGACAAUUUUUAACUGAUCAAUGCAAAUGUGUCUCUCUCUGAUGAAGAACAAUACCAGCAUAAAUUUAAUUAACCACCAGUAGAAUUUGCAUCUUCCUACUCUGUCUAUUGAUUGUGCUUUCAUAUCUGGUCUCAUCUAAACGGUAAGUAACAAAUAGUUUCCUUUCACUUAAAUAACCUCUUUAUGUAAGUAUCGAAAUAUAAUUCCAGCAAUUAACAAAUGCCACUUGGUGUUAUUAAUUUACAAAUAAAAAUGUGGUAGCCUAGUUACUUUAUCAAUCAUACUUUUGAACAAUGUAUGUGGGAAAUACAGGUCGAAUUAUUACAAACUCUUCUAAGCAAAAGUUGUGAAUUGCUAGCUAGAAAAGAAAAUUCCAUCCUAGAAAUUGGAUAACACAUUGUGUUAAACCACCAACAACUUUCAAAUGACAAACUUCCAACUUUGUCAUCAGAAUACAACUCGUUGAUAAAGCUACUGAAGGCUAUAUUGCAAAUAAAUAUGGUUCAAUUAUUUCAAAAUGAAUUAUAUUAAUAAAAUAGAUAAGCAAAUCAGUUCUGAUAUAUGGCAUCUUAUUUAUUAAAUAUACAAAAUAUAUGAAAAUUUUACCAAUUUUAGACAAAUCAUAUUUGCAUAUAAUUUCUUUUCUGAAUUCAGAACCAACUUGUAAAUUCUACCAA
rnacentral:misc_RNA from 1 species